rnacentral:rRNA from 6 species
GGGUUGUGAGGUUAAGCGACUAAGCGUACACGGUGGAUGCCCUGGCAGUCAGAGGCGAUGAAGGGCGUGCUAAUCUGCGAUAAGCGCCGGUAAGGUGAUAUGAACCGUUAUAACCGGCGAUACCCGAAUGGGGAAACCCAGUGUGAUUCGUCACACUAUCAUUAACUGAAUCCAUAGGUUAAUGAGGCGAACCGGGGGAACUGAAACAUCUAAGUACCCCGAGGAAAAGAAAUCAACCGAGAUUCCCCCAGUAGCGGCGAGCGAACGGGGAGGAGCCCAGAGCCUGAAUCAGCAUGUGUGUUAGUGGAAGCGUCUGGAAAGGCGCGCGAUACAGGGUGACAGCCCCGUACACAAAAGCGCAUAUGCUGUGAGCUCGAUGAGUAGGGCGGGACACGUGGUAUCCUGUCUGAAUAUGGGGGGACCAUCCUCCAAGGCUAAAUACUCCUGACUGACCGAUAGUGAACCAGUACCGUGAGGGAAAGGCGAAAAGAACCCCGGCGAGGGGAGUGAAAAAGAACCUGAAACCGUGUACGUACAAGCAGUGGGAGCCCCACCACUAAGCCAGUGGUGAACUCCACAUACGCAUCCUUUGCUGAGGAGACGGUUAACGGAGCGAAAGCGACGUUCAACCUCAAAAGAAGCAGAGGGGGCUUAGUGGUGGGGUGACUGCGUACCUUUUGUAUAAUGGGUCAGCGACUUAUAUUCUGUAGCAAGGUUAACUGUAUAGGGGAGCCGGAGGGAAACCGAGUCUUAACCGGGCGUUAAGUUGCAGGGUAUAGACCCGAAACCCGGUGAUCUAGCCAUGGGCAGGUUGAAGGUUGGGUAACACUAACUGGAGGACCGAACCGACUAAUGUUGAAAAAUUAGCGGAUGACCUGUGGCUGGGGGUGAAAGGCCAAUCAAACCGGGAGAUAGCUGGUUCUCCCCGAAAGCUAUUUAGGUAGCGCCUCGUGAAUUCAUCUCCGGGGGUAGAGCACUGUUUCGGCUAGGGGGCCAUCCCGGCUUACCAACCCGAUGCAAACUGCGAAUACCGGAGAAUGUUAUCACGGGAGACACACGGCGGGUGCUAAUGUCCGUCGUGAAGA